rnacentral:misc_RNA from 1 species
UCGUUGUCGUUGUUUGUAGUCACACGUGACCCUGCGAGCCGUGGGCUUUCCGUGUGUCGGGGAAGAGACCAGCACUCGGCUCUUCCACGCCCGAGCACCUCAAUCAAAUCACGCCCACGCCCACGCGGAGAGCAACGCAGUCGCGACGGGCGUUACGGAGCGUCAGUCCCUCGGCCCUCGGUCUUUUCGAACGCAUCGCCAGACGCACGUACGCCAGAUCUCGACAUGAUGCGGUGCUUCCGCGCCCUGCGUGCCCGCAAGGACAUCGUCGAGCUCCUGGUGUGCAGGGGCCGACUGGCCGACAUCCAAAUGCUGAACUUCUUCUCCAUCCAGCUAGACCGCGAGGUCAGCGGUGCUACGGCGGCCGCAGCAGUGCCAGGAUCGGCAGUAGCGGCCGGCGGCGCGGGCGGUGGGGAGGGGUCGGAGAUCACCGCGAAGCAGGUCGAGAAAGCAGCGGUAACCGCGGCGACGCCGGAUGCCACGAGCACGGAGGCCACGAUGGCCGCCGCUGGUGCUGCUACGGCAGUGGAGGCGGAGGCGGUGGCGAAGGCUGCAGCGGCGGAGGCGCAGCGCGCACAGAGCUGCGAGGCAAGGAAGAAGGCGUGGAAGGCAUUCCACGACCGCAGCGAUGUGGUGCGUCGACUUGCCGUCAGCGAGAGCCCCGUGGCGUGGUUGAAGGAGGUGUACAGCGGCGACGAGGAGUGGUCGUGCUCAUAUUUGACCGCAGCGACCGCCGUGGCGACGCACGCGGGCGCUGGUGCGCCGACGCUGAAGGCGAGCGGUAUGGCCACUGCGGUCGGCAGCGGCUACAUGCAGACGGCAAGGACGACGGCGGCCGGUAGCGAGGGAGGCCAACACCGUCACCACGGCUCCUCCUCCGCCACCACCGCCGCGCAUGCGCUGCCCAAGUCGAUCCGUGUGGUCCUGCGGCUGGAGGGCGGCGAGGAUGCCACGCCGAAGUACGUAACGGGCUGCGUGCCGCUCGACCAGCCCGGUGUGGUGGAGAAAAAGAUGGUGAACGGCAUGCUGCAAGUGCGCCUAAACAAUGCCGACGUUGCCCAGUUCGAGUCUCUGUCCGUGGAGAAGGUGGCUAGCUACCAGCACGUGCUGACCGCCACGGCUUACAGCGCCAUACUGCGCAAGAUGGGGGAGGUUGGCGCGCUGCACGCCACGAACACCGUGCGCUACGACGCGCUUCUGAUCCGCAACCCGGCGGUGCAGAUGCGGCUGGCGCAUCUCGCAUGCUUCCGCUACGGCAUCGACUGCUUGACCGACUACGUCGUGGGCGACCCGGCGGUGGUCGACGGCGACGAGGCCGCCGAGCUCAUCAGCAGCUUUUCGGAGCAACUGCAGAUCCCCUUGAUCGAGUCCAUGGUACUCAAAAUCUACGCAGAGCGCGCCCUGAUGGACGGCAUGGAUUGCAUGUGGGAGAUGGUGCGCGACACCCCGCUCGUUGCGGCGGUGGCCCACCGCAGCAACCCGGCCAAGAUGAUUGACUACCCGUACCUUGCGGAACUCCUCAACGCUCCCAAGUACCUCCUCACGUCCUGGAAUGGCUCCAUGGAGGAGCAGGCGAUGGCCUUCCUGCACCCGCUGCUGUCGCAGGCUGGCCUCUUCGGCAGCGGCGCCGGCGGCUCUCGCGCGGGCAUUGGCGGCGUGCUCCAAGGUUUGAUUGGGCUAACUACUGGCUACAGCUAUGGUGGCGUGCGUCUGGCGGCACCGCACGUGAACCUGGCGGGCAUGUCCAAGACACUCGAACUUGACGUGGCGAAGCUGUUGAACGUUAUUGCAAGUGAGAAGGGUAAGCUGGAGCCAAUGUUUGUGAUCAGCGUGGCACAGUACAUCUCCGAGGUGCUGGCCAACCUCGCCGUCAUCUACCGCUGCACCGCGGCGUUGAACAUCGAUGAGGAGGGCCGCGGCCACCGAGAAUGGCUGCUGGCGCAGGCGUUCGGCGGCGCCUCAGCGGUGCGCCGUCAGCGUAUCAUGAACGACUACAUGAUGUCGCGUGCGGCGACGAGUUUGAUAAAGAAGAGAAAAAGCCUCGACAACUACUCGACGCACCCCAUCGAGUUGAUGAACACGUCGCCGCGGAAUGCGAAGACGUCGUCGAUGGAGAGGGCGGGGUCCACGUAGUCGUUCCGCAUGUCAUGCGAAGCGGCGUCGGCAGAGGAUGGGGUGCGUGUAGAUGGCGAAUAUGCGGUGGUCGACGCGGCCAGCGGCAGCCCGGCGCGCUCGCCAUUGCCAUCCUAAACGCCCCUACUUUCUGCCCUCAUCGUGGCGGAUCUGCGAGGAGGCUCACUAAGGCGACGGAUGCUAUGGACUACGGUUGCGCUGGAGAUGGUGAUGGUGUGGAGUCCACGGCGGGUGCGCGGCGCUACGUGACGGCGCUCUCCCAUCCGUUUCUACGCGUGUUGCGGGCUAAGGGAGAGCGCGCCACCUUGGCGCGCCGCCUUCGCGGUCCUCCGCUUCUCGGCACCGCCCUCUUCACUGUUCGCGUGCCGCCCCUCUCUGGCGCAUGUGCGCAGGGGGGGGCGGCGGCGCUUGCCAACACGGGUGCGCAUCCUCUUGUCUCUCUUCAGUUUCGCCCUUUACUAAGAACAACUCGUCACCCCACUUCCAGGCGUCCCUUCACGAUCGACAAGGAGCCGCCAUGGCAGCGACAGGCUGCGCAUGCGUGCACAUGCUCCCCGCAUCUCUUCUCGCUUUAUCCAUGAGGAAGGUCUUGCGGAAUAUGCGUGCCUGUGAGCCGCCCAGGGCGUGAUAGCAAGGACCGUUAUUGGCCUCUGUGCCCGUGUACCGCGUCUUCCUCCGUUGCUUCUGGUGCAAGUGCCGCACACUGCCGUCUGCCUCCGCCCCUCCAUCACUUCUGUGACGCCGCCGUGUUUCACCUUGUCCACUGCGACUGCUAUCCUGGACGGACAUUGCACCGGAUGUUCGCCCACCCACCCGCCUCCUACAUCCUCCUCUCAUGCAUGCGCGCAG